GACGAAUGGUACGACGGUCAAUACCCGUCGUAAGUGACGGUACCGUAAGAGAAAGCCACGGCUAACUACGUGCCAGCAGCCGCGGUAAUACGUAGGUGGCAAGCGUUGUCCGGAAUUAUUGGGCGUAAAGGGCGCGCAGGCGGCGUCGUAAGUCGGUCUUAAAAGUGCGGGGCUUAACCCCGUGAGGGGACCGAAACUGCGAUGCUAGAGUAUCGGAGAGGAAAGCGGAAUUCCUAGUGUAGCGGUGAAAUGCGUAGAUAUUAGGAGGAACACCAGUGGCGAAAGCGGCUUUCUGGACGACAACUGACGCUGAGGCGCGAAAGCCAGGGGAGCAAACGGGAUUAGAUACCCCGGUAGUCCUGGCCGUAAACGAUGGAUACUAGAUGUAGGAGGUAUCGACCCCUUCUGUGCCGGAGUUAACGCAAUAAGUAUCCCGCCUGGGGAGUACGGCCGCAAGGCUGCAACUCAAAGGAAUUGACGG
rnacentral:rRNA from 1 species